UAAAUUGGAUCAGAUGACCCUACAAAUGAUGCUAAUAAAAUAAUAAAAUAUAUACUUUACAACUAUACCUUAUAAGACCUGCAGCAACAAAUGGCAACAUAAUGUAGCAUAUCUCUAUAUAGCACACAUAACCACUAUCAGCAUAUAUCGAUUAAUGAUAAUUACAAGAGUGGGCUCUUAUACAUCAUUCAUUAUCCCACUCCCCCCUGCCUCUGCUUACCAUAGCUCUAAAUUAUGUGCUCUUGAUAGCAUUUCAAGAGAUAAAUUCAUGCAGGGUAUCCAUUUACCUCACCUGGGUCGAUGGAGGCAAACGUACAUGUAGAUCAAGGCCUUGCGAAAGGAUGUCGGUGCAGAAGCAGGAAUUGAACCCUGAAGCUUGUGAUCCAUAGUCCAGACACAUAACCACUAGCCCACAGCACAUCUACUUACAACUGUUUGACUAAUAGACAAAUUACAUGCCUUGUAUUGACUUAAUUAUUUGAGUACUAAUAUGAAAGGCCAAGUUUUUAAUUGAAAACGCCUCUAGUGAAUUUCUUUACCCAAAUGACUUUAAGUGAAAGUUUGCUUUAUACAUUUUACAUCAAAGUAUUCUUUUGAAUACAGGCCAUGAGCUAUCUGCCACCAGUAUAAAAAAAUAUACUUAAGCAAUUAAAUAGAAGGAAGAAAUUGAUGGCUAGCCAUGGCUAUUACAAGACAUAUACCAUGUGAUCAAACUUUGAAGACAUGUUCAGUAAAUUAUUUAAAAACAAGACCAUAAAUUAAAAAGUAUUUUACAGAUACAUGAGCAGCAUAUCAAAACUCUUUUCAUUGCUAUUGGACCUAACAUCUGCUUUUAGCAGAAAAAAAGAAGAAAAAAAGAAAUAUAUUAUAUCCAUAUUCAUAAAGGUAUGGUAUCUAAAAAAAAAAAAAACUCAUAUAUUAAAUCUACCAUAACACUAUACAUUACCAACAUGAAUUAAACACUUACACAUUAAAACAGUGGAUGAACUUGAAAAGAAAAAGAAUGAUAAUGAGAGUGGAUUUUCUUCAAAAAUGAAGAAAAUUCCCAAUAUGGACAUGGAAUGAUGUAUUUUUCUUAAUACAUAUAGACUAGAAAAUUCCACAGGCAAGAUACUCAUUAAUAAAAUCAUAAAAAUUAUGAAUUCAGAGCUUACAUUUGCUAUAUACAGAAUAGAUGCGAUGGGAUCUUUCUUAGAUUUACACUUGAGAGCUCCAAAACUUAAACAAACUUGACAUUAAACUAGAAAGCUACAACUGAAAUUCAUCAAAAAAUGUAACGGGUGAAACUGCCAAAGUCAAAUCUUUUGAGACCACAAAAAUCUGUUUUAUUUGACUUAUAAGAUGUAAAUAAUAAAUAUUUGCAUAUUCUGGUCUGAAGAAAUGCUUCGACUUUAUACGUGAUUAUUUGACAUGUGGAAAACCAACUUAGAUGUAAGGAGACGCUACUGCAAGCUGAAAAUCAAAAUUUAAAAGUCUGAAAUCAGAUUAAGAUUGAUCUUCCACAUCCAUCAUUGUAUCAUUUCCAUAACAACAUUAGUGUUCAUUAAACAAAGCUCAUUCUUUAAGAUUUUUGGGGGAGGAUACUCAAAAUCAGGGGAAAAAUCACACGGGGCCUGGGGGCAAUUUAGCCCCCAAAAUGCUCAAAGGAUCCCUGGAAACCAAAAAAAGGAGCCCUGGAAAUUCCCCAUUCAUAGCAAGCUUAAAGCGUAUCCGAUGCUGCAGAUUUAGGCAGUAAGUUGUGAAAAGUAGUCCCCAAAAAAGAAAAGAAAAAGUUCUCUCCUGCUCACAAUCUCACAUUGAUAUCAAAGCAUGCCAAUUUUAAUAAUGACAUUUGGAUACUUUGAGACAAUGCAAAUUUGUGUCAUAAGUUUACCAAAAAACAAAAAUACAGAGAAUCUUUAUUACAUUGUUCUGAAAUUGCAAUAUCAUUUUUUCUUCAAAUGUUUAAAAUCAAAAGAUACAAGAUUGCAUGUAUCAUAUUGAUUAAGUAGAAGACAUUUCUGCUCAAAUCAGUUUUGCUUGAAAGACAUAGUAACUUGCAUUAUCAUAUAGCUUACAAUAAAAAUGAAUGCUAAGACCAAAAAAUCUAUCUGCUGCCCUGUUGAGACGACAUGACAAAAUAUUAAUCUUGACAGUGAAUAUACUGGUUAAUCACAAAAGUACUUUUUUUUUAAAUCACCAAAGACAUGUUUAAAUUCAUAGAUAAAAAAUAAUAAUUUGGAUAGUUUCUUUAAUCAUUCUAAACAGAUUCAGAGUACAUCAUACUGCAUGUGGAAUGCUCAGGGCCAUGUUGCAUAAAAGUUACGAUUAUAACUUUGCCAUCCAAUGGUAACUUGUAUGGAAUCCUUGAUUUUGAUUGGUUGAUCAAUGCUACCAUGGUAGUUAGCAUUGGAUGGCAAAGUUACCAUAAUGCAUUUCCAUUCUCAUGUGAAAGGCAAAGUACUCAUCAAUCUGGAAAUGGAUGAAUUAAAUUUCAUGCAAAUUUUCCGAAAAUAGGCAAACAAUAAAUCUAAACAUUGAUAAUUUCAGCUAUAUGCUCCAUGAGCCUUUACGAUACAUAUUCAUUUUAUGCAUAAUUUGCCAUAUACCUCCAGAGAGUUGGACAUGAUACAGAAAACGAGCAUAUCCUUUUGUAAAAAAAUCCAGUGCUUUUGCAGAAAUCACACAUUUGCAUAAAAAGGAGAGUAGAAAAAUGGAUUAUCGUAGAAAAUUGAAAGACAACAAUUGGUGCAAACGUGGUUUGGAAGAAGAGUGCUUGCAUCUGAGAUGAGAUGAGACUAUUUCAAUCUGUUCUGUGAUUGUCAGAAGGCAUGCUAAUCAAUGGACGGAGAUUCGUUUACGUAGAAUGGUACACUUUAAGGAAAAACCAACCCAUGAAAUGAACUUAAAAAAUACAAUUAAAAACCAGAAUUGUGGAAGUUUAUAAAAUCAAGACAAAAUUGCACGAGGAAGGAGAAAGUUAUGGGUGAUUUAACAGGAAUAUAACUACAUGUAUAUGACAGGGGCAUCGCCAGAAACUAAAGUCCAAAUGCAACUUCAGAUUCUUAGAAAGCCCCAUUACACUAUGUAAUUCUCAAAUUGGCACUUAGGUAUUAGGACUACAUGUACUCUCUCUUAUGACAUGUACUCAAUUAUCAGGAAAAUUGUGGGUUUCUCUUGUUGUUUUUUUCUGUUCAGGCAGUUACCAAAAAUAUAUGAAUUAAACAUAGAUAUCAUAUGAUAGACAAAUUAUUCUCAGUGGAACAUUUUUUGUUUGUUUGUUAAAGAUGAUAUUUUAGCCAGUUUACAGACUGGAGAAAAUUCAGAAUUGUCACUACGAGCUACUCUACAUCAUUACCUACAUGUACACUGUAUGUGGCCAAUUUGAAAUCCUCAUAAAUACAUGUAUAGUGAUUGAAACAUAUAAACAAAUGUAAAUGUUUAAUCCAAUUCUUAUUAGGAUUUCACCUUUUG